rnacentral:tRNA from 1 species
GAGAGCUUAAUUAAAUUAAUAAUAUGGAAUUGUCAUUUCCAAAUUAUCCUCUAGGAUAGUUCUUU